rnacentral:rRNA from 1 species
UACGUAGGGGGCGAGCGUUGUCCGGAAUGACUGGGCGUAAAGGGCGUGUAGGCGGCGAACUAAGUUUGGAGUGAAAGUCCUGCUUUCAAGGUGGGAAUUGCUUUGGAAACUGGUUUGCUUGAGUGCGGAAGAGGUAAGUGGAAUUCCCAGUGUAGCGGUGAAAUGCGUAGAGAUUGGGAGGAACACCAGUGGCGAAGGCGACUUACUGGGCCGUAACUGACGCUGAGGCGCGAAAGCGUGGGGAGCGAACAGGAUUAGAUACCCUGGUAGUCCACGCGGUAAACGAUGAACGCUAGGUGUCGGGGGUCACAAGACCUUCGGUGCCGUCGCAAACGCAUUAAGUAUUCCACCUGGGGAGUACGUUCGCAAGAAUGAA